GCCCAGCCGUAAACUUUUAAUUACACUCUAAUCGCCUGGGAACUACGAGCAAAGCUUAAAACCCAAAGGACUUGACGGUACCCCACAUCCACCUAGAGGAGCCUGUCCUAUAAUCGAUAAUCCACGUUCAACCUCACCAUUUUUAGCCUAUCAGCCUGUAUACCUCCGUCCUCAGCUUACCCCGUGAGCGAAAUCUAGUAAGCUUAACGCCCUUACGCCAACACGUCAGGUCAAGGUGCAGCAAAUGAAAUGGGAAGAGAUGGGCUACACUCUCUAAUUUAGAAAACACGAAAGACUACCUAUGAAACCUAGUCAGAAGGCGGAUUUAGAAGUAAAAAGAAAACAGCAUGUUCUUUUUAACCAGGCACUGGGGUGUGUACACACCGCCCGUCACCCUCUUCAUAGGAACUAAAAAGUAUUUAACAACACUUAUCUAAUCAGAAGAGGCAAGUCGUAACAUGGUAAGUAUACCGGAAGGUGUGCUUGGAAA
rnacentral:rRNA from 1 species